rnacentral:rRNA from 1 species
UACGGAAGGCAGCAGUGGGGAAUAUUGCACAAUGGGCGAAAGCCUGAUGCAGCUAUGCCGCGUGUAUGAAGAAGGCCUUAGGGUUGUAAAGUACUUUCAUCGGGGAGAAAAAACAAAACUAAUAAUUUUAUUUCUUGACGUUACCCGAAAAAGAAGCACCGGCUAACUCCGUGCCAGCAGCCGCGGUAAUACGGAGGGUGCUAGCGUUAAUCAGAAUUACUGGGCGUAAAGAGCACGUAGGUGGUUUUUUUAAGUCAGAUGUGAAAUCCCUGGGCUUAACCUAGGAACUGCAUUUUGAAACUGAAAUACUAGAGUAUCGUAGAGGGAGGUAGAAUUCUAGGUGUAGCGGUGAAAUGCGUAGAUAUCUGGAGGAAUACCUGUGGCGAAAGCGGCCUCCUAAACGAAUACUGACACUGAGGGUGCGAAAGCGUGGGGAGCAAACAGGGAUUAGAUACC